AAAUGGGGACAAAAUAUUUACAAAAAACACUAAAUACACAACUGAUGGAUCAUAUCAUGAAAGUGAUGCCUCAACUUAGUCAAAAAAUCUCAGAACAACUAACAGAAUUGGAGUCUCAAGUGCGAGACAUAAAAAGCAGAGGAGGGGUUAUGUCCCAUAAAUUAAUGAUGAAAUCAGUCGGAGCUUUUACAUCUCUACUACAACACGAUAUAGUAUCAGCGAAUACAGUUGCUCAAAUAUCUUCCCAAAAGUUAUCGACUGGUGCUAAAAUAAAUCGUUGUUUCUUUAAACAUUUUCCACAAUUAUCCCGAAAGCAAUCGGAAGAACGAAAUAAGGAUAUUCUAACAAAUAUUCGAGUUGCUAUUCAGAACGUUCAUGGAGUCAA